ensembl:lncRNA
UUCCCCUGAGUGAAAUAUGGCAUGCAGUAACCAGAAGAGAAAAUUACAAUGACAUUCAUUAAAAUAAUUAAAACGGUCAAAAGAAGAUGCACUGCAACGGCGCGAUCUCGGCUCACCACAACCUCCACCUCCUGUGUUCAAGCAAUUCUCCUGCAUCAGCCUCCUGAGUAGCUGGGAUUACAGGCAUGCACCACCACACCCAGGUAAUUUUGUAUUUUUAGUAGAAAUUCAGUUUCUCCUUGUUGGUCAGGCUGGCCUUGAACUCUUGACCUCAGGUGAUCCACCCACCUCGGCCUCCCAAAGUGCUGGGAUCAGGGCAUGAGCCACGGUACCUGGGCUGCUUCCCUGUUUUUAUCCCGUCCCCUUAGCAAGGUCAACUGUGGAUAGUCCUCCCUCACUGGGAGCCAGGAGGGUACGCUGGCUGGAGGGGUCCUGUUGACAAAUCUCAUCCCUGUGAUGAAUUUUUUUUUUUCUAGGCCUCAGGACACCUGGAAUAGCAAGGACAGUUUUAAAUACCCUCUGUCCUUCAGACCACAUUGGAGCAUCCUGACAGGGUCUGGGAGCUGGGAAACAGGCCCUGAGCUGACCGAUCUGGAGAUGCCCACGUGCUCCUGCACAGCCUAUGCAGCUGUGCCCCUUGGGCUGUUAGUGAGAAAACUUACUUUUACAUUUAAUCUUGGUUUUCUUUCCUUAAAUCAAAGAGUGCUGAGGGAUAAAGCGGCGAAGCAUGAUCAGAGAGGGACGAGUUUAAUUAAUGUGUGCAAGGUAUAGAGUACAUACAUUAUAUAUGCACAAGUUAAAGAAUAAUAGCAAAAUGAACAAUGUUUACAACUCUAAACAACUUAACAAAAAGAAUAUUAUCAAUACCUUAAAGCUGUCCCUGAUCACAUCCCUGCCUCCAUCCCCUCAAAGGUAACUACUAUCUUGAAUGUUGUAUUAAACUAACUUUUAUUUAUUUAUUUUUGCUUAGGUAUGCAAUCCUAAAAUAAUAUAUUAAUUUUAACAUCUUUAGACCUUUGUCAAAUAAAACAAUUUUAGGCUUACUUGUUUCACUCAAUAUGUUUCUAAAAUUCAACCAGAUAAACAUGUAUCUGUUCAUCCAUAUUCUAUUUUAAAUGGUACUUCAUUAAAUGAAUAUUCAAAAAAUAUCUACUAUUUGCGGACAUGAGAGCUAUUUCCAGUUUUUCUGUUUGCUUGUUGAUUUCACUAGUACAAAUAGUAUUUCUGUGAGCAUAUUUGAAUAUAUCUUUGGUGCACAUAUGCAAAAGUCUUUCUAAGAUACAUAUCUUAAAGCAGUAUUGCUGAGUUGAAAACUGUAUGAAUUUUCAACUUUACUAAAUAACACUAAAUUGUUUUCUGAAGUACUUGCACCAAUUUACUGUUCGGUCAAAAGUGUUUAAGUGUUUCUGUUGCUCUACAUCUUCACCGAUAUUUGGUUUUGUCAAACUAUAUAGAUUUGCCAGUCUGACAGAAAAACUGGCAACCAUGAAAGUCAUUUGUUUUCCCCAAAUAUUUCCAGUUAUCCCUGCUUCCAAGCACAUAGUGGAAGGAAUUGCACUUCCUAAAUCCAUGUGGUGAGUGCGUUUGUUGUGACUUGUACUGAAUUGUGAAGGAAUGUGUGCCAGUCCCUAGCUGGAGCAAUUAAUUGCUGAUACAGACACCUCCAUAGUUUCCUUCCCUCUGGCAAGGAGGUGACUGCUGUGUAACCCUGGGAACAUGAGUGAACCAUACUAAACAGAUGACUGACCUCAGUUCUCCAAUGACCUUAAAUGGACCCUUAAUGUGAGUGAGAAGUAAAAUUUUGUUGGGAUGAUUCUUGAGUGUUAGUGGCAACAGUAUUACCUAGCAUAUGAUGACAUACAGAGUAUCUCAUUGUGGUUUUAACUUGCUUUUUCCUGCUUACUAAUGAGACUGCACAUCUUUUUUAUGUUUU